UGGAGCACUGUACCAAUGAACUGGAAGAGGAAAAUAAGUCAUUUGUCGGAUGAACACGUUUUUUGGAGUGUUAUAAGCCCACAGUGUUGGUCGCGGAGUUGAGUCUGAAAAUAAAUAGACUCAAACCUUUAAUGAACAGUGGGGGGUCUGCUGCCCGGAGUGAUCUAAGAGCAGAAAAACCCCUCUGAACCAUGCGUACCAGCCCCAAAUUAAGGUGAUCCGACGACCCGUUUCAUCUCCUCAUCCUCCUGCCAAGACGGCUUUCUCUCUGCACGGCAGAAAGGCAGAAAGCAGCAGUUCUGAAACGCUGCACAUUUCUUGGAAGUCAAAAGAGGCUGGGUCCCAGCCAAGACUUUGUUGGAUUUUUUUUUUCAUCACCUAAGAAUCUCUGCUACCCAAUGCACUUCGACCUCAGGACGAAGUGACACAGACGGCGAGACGGUAUGCUCUACCGCCAUGUUGUGUGUGGAUGUGUGGAGCUCCAUCUGAGGAGGAACAACAAAGCAGUGGAACAAAUCACCAAUGACCUCCAGCGGAUGACCUUCGUGCUGCAUCGUGAUUGGUCCAAGUGUGUAUCUCACACUAAUGACAUCAUGACCCAUGCAGCUUGAUGUGAGGGUUAAUCUAAUCACUUUCAAAAAAUGGAAUACAGAAUACUUAAACUUUGUGAUUGUCUGCUCAAGUUCCUGUUUGACAGCUGCAUCUUUAGCUUGAAGAGCAGUGACCAAGCAAUCACUAUUAUAAACAGCCUUCAAUUACCAAGCUGGUUGACCUAGAGUAGUACACAGCUGAACAGGUGGCAUUCGGGGCUUGUGUUGAUUGGUAUGACUGACAUCUGUUUUAUUUGUUGUUGAAGUUGAGGCAUUUCUUUAGAAAUCUUUGCCGCUAAUUUAAUAUCGAGCAUUGAGGAAAUGGUUUAUCUCAUGACAGGAGAUAUUCACAAAUCACUGUAUUCAUGUACGCAUAAAAAUUGAUCGUAUUGAUAUAUACAACCUUUGAAAAAAGAAAACACAAACCAACAAAGACGGCAUGAAUUGCAAAACCUAAUUGUUACUAUUCCUAUCCUGUUUCCCAUUCACAACAUCCAUAGUGUUAGGUUAGCUAUUCAUCAGUUUCAAUGAUGCCAGCCAAGCUAAUUGCUACCCCAUCCAUCGUUGGUUUGGACCCUUUGUAUCUCUAACCCAACCUCGCUUUGACUAAGAUAGUUUCUGCAUUGAACAGGAUACCUAGUGUGAAUAUUCACACUUUUCCAUUUUAUAGCCAAAAUCUUGGUAAAUAGUAAAUCUGUGGAAUAUCAAAGUUCAGAGAAUGCGGCCCUUUGUUUAAAAAACGAUUUAUAUAUUGACAGAAGAAACAGUGAUUGAUUAUUAAAUAUAUUUUUUAAAUAGAAUACA